rnacentral:lncRNA from 1 species
CACGGUACACGGGGCACCGCACGCGCAAGCCUAUUACGUGUAGUCCACAGGCACACAGGGCCUAUCCGUGAAGACCUAUUGCACAAAUGGCGUGCGCAGAGUAUGCGGCACCAAUCCAUUCACGAAGUGACACACGGAUGGACCACUUACGCACUAUAGAUGCGCACGUAGUCCUGACCCUGCACCGUGCGUGCGGAUUAGACAUGCACACUGUGCACACAUCCCGUGCAGGCAACAGUUUUCU